GGGCGGUUAGCUCAGCGGUAGAGCAUCGGUUUUACACACCGGGGGCCACAGGUUCAAAUCCUGUACCGCCCACCA
rnacentral:tRNA from 1 species